GACGAACGCUGGCGGCGUGGAUUAGGCAUGCAAGUCGAACGGUAUCAUCCUUUCGGGGGUGAGAGAGUGGCGAACUGGUGAGUAACACGUAGGUUAUCUACCCUCAAGACGGGGACAACCCAGGGAAACUUGGGCUAAUACCGGAUGUGAGCAACUUUUAGUUGUUUGAAAGGUGGCGUAAGCUGUCGCUUGGGGAUGAGCCUGCGUCCUAUUAGUUAGUUGGUGAGGUAACGGCUCACCUAGGCAAUGAUAGGUAGGCGGCCUUUAACGGGUGGUCGCCCACACUGGGAUUGAGAUACGGCCCAGACUCCUACGGGAGGCAGCAGUCGAGAAUAGUCUACAAUGGUCGGAAGACUGAUAGUGCGACGCCGCGUGAACGAUGAAUCCCUUCGGGUGUAAAGUUCUUUUAUAUGUGAGCAGUGCUUCUUAUAUUAACAGUAUGGGGAGACCGAGAUAUUAGCAUAUGAAUAAGCAACGGCUAACUCCGUGCCAGCAGCCGACGGUAACUGUACG
rnacentral:rRNA from 1 species